GAUGGAGGGCGGGGGCACUGGAGACAGCUCCUCUCCACGGCCUCUGCCCGCCGGCAUCUCCAGCCAGACGGUGACUUCUGUGGCAGCCACAGGGAGUGUAAGAGCCAGUGCUGCAUCCAGCUGCGGGACGACAGCCCGCACCGCUGCAUCCUCCGCUCCGGGAUCCUGGCCCAGUGCCUGCCCCUGCUGAGUCUGCGUGGGAGGCUCAGCUUCGUCGAGGGCGCCACGGCGACCAGGCCAGGACCACAGCCAUGAGAGUGACCGAGCUCAAACCUGGGCGCUGGAACCUUCAGGCUGGACCGCGUGGUGCCGGGGGUGGUUCCCGUGGAAGCUUCGCUCGGGCUCCUGCUGCUCUUCCUGGGGCUCGGAAAUCCGUGGAAUUAAGUGGGGAGCAGCGGCCGGUGGUCCGUGCGCUUGAUCGCUGGGCGUGAAUAAAGGCUCCCGGCUGAGUGAGCGUGUGUCUCAUCUCCUCUGUGUCUUCUGAGUAAUAACAGCAUAAAAUCUGCAGUCAGGGAGGUGGGCGUCUGCCGUUCAGCGCCACGCAGGCCUCCGGGAAGCCUGGGGAGGCAGAGGCCUCACUGUGGGAGGCGAGCUGGGGUCUGGUCACCUCCCAUGGUGGCCGCAGGUGACAGCUGCUCCAGACGGAAACGCGCUCCCUCCCCUUCCCUGACGCGGGCGUCCCCGGCACACAGGCCCCUUCCCCAGGCCGGCUGAGCUUCCCGGUCACCUUCCUCCCCUCUGGGAUCCGGGUUCAGGCCGAGAACCCUCCCCACAGCAGACUCCCGCCUGGGCAGCACCCGGGCUCUGCGGCAGUGGAGCAGGUGGGGGUGGGUCCGAGGGCGUCUGCAGCUCCCCUGGGGACACGCGCCGCUCAGCCUGAAGUUGCCAGUUUGGGUGACUUCCUUCAGACAAGGCCUGUGAGACCGUGAACCGGGCGUCGGGCCUGAAGCAGGCCUGCCGAGGCCACAGCACAGCGCGCGUGGGACGCUCACACGGCCGCACGGACCGGGCCCUGCAGCGCCGUCAGCCGCAGUUCCUGACUUCGCAGCCUUGGGUCGUGUUGACGAAACGGCAGUUUGGUGACGUUUUCUAUGGGAUGUGGAAAGUGAACUCAGUCUUCCCACGAUGGGGCUGUGGACACACGUUGCUCAGGGUGACCCUCCCUGGGCGUGUGUGGUGACAGACACAGCUGCCACCGUGUGGUCCCCGUAGGAAGUGAAAGCAAAGCUCCUUCCUGAUGCGAAGCUGCUGAGAAAGGAAUUUUCCACACACACCUCCACCUCCCUGACGCCGUCCACACCCCAGCGCCUGGAUCCGGAACCUUCAAACAGGAUUGCCCGCCGCCAGCAGGACGUGUCACGUGGUGAGGUAGCUCCAGCUUCUUGGCACCCCUCCUCCCGCAGAGACACUGGAAGCACAUGAGGAAAGCACUGAAUGGGACAGGUCUCGAUCCAAUACAGUGAAAAAUCUCAUUUUCCCAAACUCCACAGAAACAUUGUGUGUGGUCAAGUCAGUUGGAGUGGACGCCACACAACAGGGGCACGGGGCGUCUAAGGUGACGGGUCACCCGCUGGUUCCAGGAGGAGCACGGAGCCCAGCAGGCACCCAGAGCUUCAGGCAGCCCCUAGGGUGGACGCAGAAGGGGUUCCUGCCGGGCAUUCGGGAGACGCUCUCUGGGUUGAGGCCGGGGAACCACGGCCGGGCCAGCCCUGUGUGCUGGAGGAGCCCACCGCACCGGGGUCUCCCCACUGCCCCUGCCCCUGGCGUCGUCACCCCAUGGCAGAGGGGCUGCCCGGGGGUCUUUCCACAACCUCCCAUCGGAGUGGGGCCCCUCGGCCCGGGGUGCGACCAUCUCCUCCCUCUGCCCGAGCCCUCCAAUCCCGUUGCCAUCACGUUGGGUCAACUUCACUAUGAAUUUGGAAGUCUAAGGAAAUGACAAAGCGAAACAGCGCGGGGUAGGUGGGCGUCAGACGCCGCAGCCCCUGGUGAGUCCCUCUGUCCCUUCCGCACGGGGCCUCUCCCGGCCUCUCCUGCUGAGGUGUGCCCAGAGCCCCCCCACUGCUCCUCGGGGCACAGCCUUGCUGUGGACUGAAUGCGUCCCCAGAUUCCUGUGUGCAGGCCCCGAGCCUGGCGUGAUGGGACUGGAGCGGGUUCUGGGAGGUGGCUGAGGCUGCGGGGAGGCGGUGAAGGCUCGUGAGAAGGGGGUUCACGGCCUUGUGAUCAGAGGCUCCAGGCGACCGUGGUGGUAAAUAGCAACGCGCUGUGAGAAAAGAGACCACAGAGGCGCAGCGUGCCCGCUCCUCCGCGAGGACGCCCUGGGAGGGCGGCCGCCUGGGACCCAGAGGGGCCUCCGCCCUGCCCACCUGCCUGGCAAGGACACCCUGGGAGGGCGGCCGCCUGGGACCCAGAGGGGCCUCCGCCCUGCCCACCUGCCUGGCAAGGACGCCCUGGGAGGGCGGCCGCCUGGGACCCAGAGGGGCCUCCGCCCUGCCCACCUGCCUGGCAAGGACACCGUGGGAGGGCGGCCGCCUGGGACCCAGAGGGGCCUUGGGGAGCUCGCCCUGCCGGCACGGGAUCUCCGACUCCAGCCUCCACAGCCGAGCAGCCAGUGCCCCCAUGUGCGUGCCGGGUCUGUGGUGUUCCGCAUGGCAGGCGAGGAGGCUGAGACGAGCCUUGUUAUUCUGACCACCCAUCCUCAAGUUCUAGCAAAAUGAUGAUUUCUAAGAAGGAACGGAAUAGAUAAACGUGAAACUUAACCCUUGAAAGCAUCUGGAGGGCGUCCAGGCGAGGCGGCUCCACCUGCGGUCCCAGCUCCUCGGGAGGCUGACGCA